GCCAACGGGUGAGUAUACAUGGAUAACCUACCUAGAAGUUGGGGAUAACACAGAGAAAUUUGUGCUAAUACCGAAUGUGACGGUUCCUGGUAGCAGGGAUUGGUUAAAGCAGCAAUGCGCUUUUAGAUGGGUCCAUGGCUGAUUAGCUAGUUGGUGGGGUAAAGGCUCACCAAGGCGACGAUCAGUAGCCGGCCUGAGAGGGUGAACGGCCACAAUGGAACUGAGACACGGUCCAUACUCCUACGGGAGGCAGCAGGUUAAGA
rnacentral:rRNA from 1 species